rnacentral:rRNA from 1 species
ACGGAAGGCAGCAGUGGGGAAUAUUGCACAAUGGGGGAAACCCUGAUGCAGCGACGCCGCGUGAGUGAAGAAGUAUUUCGGUAUGUAAAGCUCUAUCAGCAGGGAAGAUAAUGACGGUACCUGACUAAGAAGCCCCGGCUAACUACGUGCCAGCAGCCGCGGUAAUACGUAGGGGGCAAGCGUUAUCCGGAUUUACUGGGUGUAAAGGGUGCGUAGGUGGUAUGGCAAGUCAGAAGUGAAAACCCGGGGCUCAACCCCGUGGAUUGCUUUUGAAACUGUCAAACUAGAGUACUGGAGAGGUAAGCGGAAUUCCUAGUGUAGCGGUGAAAUGCGUAGAUAUUAGGAGGAACACCAGUGGCGAAGGCGGCUUACUGGACAGUUACUGACACUGAGGCACGAAAGCGUGGGGAGCAAACAGGAUUAGAUACCCUGGUA